rnacentral:misc_RNA from 1 species
AUGAUGGCAGGUUGUCUUUACAAUGAAUUUGCUAGUGAAGCCGUGAAGACUUUCACUGAAAUGGUUAGAAAAUGUAUCAAGCCAAAUAUAGGUUCCAUCUUGAAUGUACUUGGUGCAUUAUCUAAUCUGAAAGACAAGAAACAAGGAAGGUGUGUCCAUGGGUAUGUGUUAAGACAAGGGUUUCACUUGAAUGUAGAGGUUGCCAAUCAAAUCAUUCACAUGUAUGCAAAUUGCGGUUGUAUAUCCUAUGCAAGACAAGUCUUCAACCAGUUAAGAAACAGGGACUUGGUGUCAUGGACGUCUAUGAUGAGGGGUUAUAUACAACAUGGGCAAGCUAAUGAAUCGAUUGACUUGUUUAGGUUGAUACAAAGAGAAAAGGUUGAGCAUGAUUCAGUUGCUCUAACAAUUCUGCUUCAGGCAUUUUGCCAGCUCGGGCAUUUAAGCCUGGCAAAGGAAGUUCACUGUCAUCUGUAUCGUGCUUUUUUUAAGAGAGACAUCCCUGUUAUCAAUUCUCUGAUUACAACGUAUGCCAAGUGUGGAAAACUAAAUAUGGCGAGAAAUCUUUUUGAGAAUGCAACCAAAAAAUGUACAACAUCAUGGAACGCAAUGAUUGCAGCAUAUGGAAUGCAUGGGGACUGUGUGAAUGCUCUCAAACUGUUUGCACAUAUGAAGGAGGAAAACAUAGAACCUGAUGAGGUAACCUUUACUUCCCUGCUCGCUGCUUGCAGCCGCUCAGGCUUGGUAGAAGAUGGUCUACAUACUUUUAGGUCCAUGACUGAGGAAUAUUCUAUAAAACCAUGUGAAGAGCAUUUUAGCUGUUUGGUGGAUUUAUUAAGCAGAGCAGGAAAGCUUGAAGAAGCAUAUAAUUUGGUUAAAUUCUUGCCAUCGAGACAAAGAGCUCAGGCAUUGGGUGCUUUGCUUGCUGCCUGCCGAGUGCAUAGAAAUACAGAGAUGGGGGAGAUGAUAGGAAAAAACCUUCUGGAUUUAGAACCUGAGAAUGCUAGUGCUUAUAUAUUGGUGUCGAAUUUGUAUGCAGAUGGUGGAAAAUGGGAUGUGGCGGCCAAAAUAAGAUCUAUGACCAAGGAGAAAGGUCUGAGGAGGACUCAUGGAUACAGUCUAAUAGAGCUAAAUGAGCAUGAGAAAGGUGUGAACAUUUCCUAGACUAGACUUCCUUAAAUUUAUAAAUAAGAUAUAGAUAUAGAUUUUUUUUUUGGCCAAAAAAAAAAAAUGCAACGGAAGUCUUCAGUUUUCAAUCUGUUAUUUUGAAACAGAUUCGCAGCAGCUUACUCAGCUUUGCAGUAGGCCUUUUUCUCUCAUUCCGUGGGAAAUAGCAGUAGUUGUUUAAGACAUUAGAGAUUAUGUAAACCCUUUUCCUUCUUUUGUUAUUAGAUUAAUUCCUAGAUCAAAUAACAGGAGUGUUAACUGGGUUGCAAAUAUGACUAGGCAGAAAACUCUCUAUUAUGAUUAGCAGUAUGUCCCUCCACCCCACUUAGCCUUACUUUUAGCUGAAGAUAGUUUGUAUUUUUAUUUUUG